rnacentral:lncRNA from 1 species
AUGAGCGAGAAGCGCGAGAAGGACGACUCCCAGCCCAACGCAGGGCUGCCACGCGUGCAGGAACGCCGCCAGGUGAGGCAGGCGGAGAGCAGCGGGGCCGGGCUCGGCCCGGGCCGCCGGUGCGACCUGGCCACCUCCAUCUCACGCCUCCUUCUCCCCACAGGUGGGCCGCACGGCGCCGCGAGCGGUGCCGCCGGGCAGCCGGAGCCCGGGCUCGUCCCUCCACGGCGUCCAUCUGCCGCCGCUGCCCGGCCCGGAGAGCUCGCGGGCCUCCGGGAGCCGCCGCGCACAGGUAGGGAGCCCGAGGGAGGCGAGGCCGAACGUCUUCCCGCGUGGCGCGGGGACCGCCCACAUGAGCGCUGCCCUCGGUGCUCCGUGGGGCGGGAGCGGGACGGACCGCGCUCACUUGGUGUUUCUAACUCGGCUUCUCUUGCAGGCAGGCGGGUGGCAGUUCACGCUGUCGGUGACCCGCAGCAGUGCCGGCGGGCAACGGAGACAGCCUCAGCCAUCCUUGCUGCCUCACUUAAGGCGGCCAGGGAUGCCGGCAGCUGCACCCCCAGCAUGCAGCAGCACCUUCUAAUGCCCAUAAGCUGCUUGCUCUGCAAGCAGCAACCUGCGCACCUGCUGCAAGAGGCAGAGCACGUGCCAUAGGCAUUAGAGCGGCAGACUCCCAGAAGUUUCUCCAGGUCCUUCAGGGAAACCUUGCAUGUCCAAGACCUGGCAGUGAGAUCUGAGAGCAGGGCGCCAGCCCUCAAAGACUCUAACUGUUCUCAUGCCUCUGCACGCUAGAGCCAAGCAAGGGUACCCUGUGCGCUGCAGCCAGAAGCCCAAGAGUUGGCGUGCAGCUGGCAGUACCGGGGCAUGGUGCAUGCACCAGCAGCCUGGGAGCACCAGCAACAACUGCCCAGGUGCAAGCCACUAAUGCUGGUAAGAUCCCCAUGGCUUGGACAGACGCUCGGGAGGGCACCCGAGGCACUGGUGCAGCCUCUACACCACAUUCCCCAUCUGCAAAGAAGGGCUCAGAAGGGGAGGCACGUCAUGGCAAAGAGCAAACAAGGAGACUCUGUCCCAUCUGUGCCUGAAGAUGUGGAAAAUUCAGCUUCUUCCAAGGCUGCACUUAUUCCAAAGAGACAAGAUCCCAGAGAAAUCACCAGGAUGGCCUGUGGAUAUUCUGCCACGAUCCCAGCAAUCCGCAGAAUUCGUGAUGAGGAGAAAAAGGACCCAGAUGUUGUCCAGAUGGAAUGUGUCCUGGCCAAACAGCGUGAAAGGGCCAGGGCACUGGAGAUCCCAAGCAGCAGAUGAUGAUGCCAACACUUCCGGCACUGCUCAGGGCACGCUUGGCAUCUCUACCACAACAGCGAAUGCUGAGGGCCAGUUUCUGGUAUCUGGUGAUUCCCAGACCUCAGACAUAAGCGUGCAGGCUGUGCAGCAAGAGCUGGAAGAGCCCACUGAGGGAGAAACUGCAGGACAGUUUCUGGUGAUUUGUUGUUGCACAGGUCUUGCCCCAUCUGAAGAGGCAGAAACAGCGCGUUCAGCUUCUCUUUCUGUCGGCCCAGCCUGCAACUUGAGUCUGUCUGCCUCAGUCACAGAGGUGCAAAACACUCAACUUCUCCCAAGACUGCACACUGUCCAGAGCUAUGUGUGCGCCGACAGCAUGUGAGGGAGGGGGAAGAGAACAAACAGCUGUGGCCAUGUCUGGGUUCUCCAUACAAGCUCUGGGAGAACCACAAACGCUGUGAGAUCCCAGAGAGAUCUACUGGGAGGCCUAUGGAUAUCUUCCAGUUCACCCAGCAAACUGGGGAUCCGUGAUGGGGCAAGGAAGGAACAGAUGUUGUCCUGCUGGAAUGGGUCCAGGGCAUACAGAACGAGCAAGCCCAGGCUUCUUAGCCCCAAGCAGCUGAUGAUGGUGCCAGUGCUGCCAACACUGCUCAGGGCAUGCAGGUCUCAGUCAACUAACAGCGAGGUGAUGGCAGUUCCUGCUAGGUCCUUUCCGUUAUCAGUAUAUUAACGAGUGCACGCCUGCGAUAGGACAACACAGUGCCACUGCAUGCGCUGCAAAUCAAGCAACUGGAGCAAGACACUGCACUGACAGCUGCCCUUACCCUGUAGUUUUUACUCUAAUAAACUCUAUACUUGCAGGCUGUAGAGGAAGAAA